AUUGAACGCUGGCGGCAUGCUUUACACAUGCCAGUCGAGCGGUAACCGGCCUUCGGGUGCUGACGAGUGGCGAACGGGUGAGUAAUGCAUCGGAACGUACCCAGAGGUGGGGGAUAACGCAGCGAAAGCUGUGCUAAUACCGCAUGUGAUCUGAGGAUGAAAGCGGGGGACCGAGCAGCAAUGUUUGGCCUCGCGCCUUUGGAGCGGCCGAUGUCGGAUUAGCUAGUUGGUGGGGUAAAGGCCUACCAAGGCGACGAUCCGUAGCUGGUCUGAGAGGACGACCAGCCACACUGGGACUGAGACACGGCCCAGACUCCUACGGGAGGCAGCAGUGGGGAAUUUUGGACAAUGGGCGCAAGCCUGAUCCAGCAAUGCCGCGUGCGGGAAGAAGGCCUUCGGGUUGUAAACCGCUUUUGGCAGGAACGAAACGGUGUCCGCUAAUACCGGGCGCUAAUGACGGUACCUGCAGAAUAAGCACCGGCUAACUACGUG
rnacentral:rRNA from 1 species